rnacentral:tRNA from 1 species
GCGAGAGUGGCGGAACUGGCAGACGCGCUGGAUUUAGGAUCCAGUCCUGUAAAGGGGUGGGGGUUCGAGUCCCCCCUUUCGCA